AUUCAGCCGACGAGUCGCAAAUAGGACGAAAUGUGCAUCCUCGAU
rfam:Schistosoma margrebowiei strain Zambia genome assembly, scaffold: SMRZ_scaffold0001100